CAGCUUCCCAUCCUCUAGACCCACGAGGAUGUGGCUGUACUCUUUGGUCACAGACACACUCCGCACAGGAAUCUUCAGUGCCAGAGAUCCAGUAUGUGGAGGCUGCCCUGCAUGGUGCCCAGGAUGACGUAUUCAUUGACCAGGUGGAGCGCAGUCACCUGCUCCUCUGUGGUGAAGGACGACAGAAGACAUCCAUUCACAGUCGUUCCUCCAGCGAGGUCUGAACCACAAUGUGACCUUCCAUGCCGACCUGGAGCGCAGAGAUUUCAGCAGGGACACAGCUAUUACCGGGAGGUCGCAGCGUUCGCAGGAACUGACCUUGUCUGACUGAGUGCACGAUCACGGUCCCGUCCUGACGCACAGGGAACAGAGAGUGACAAAGCGCCGAACCCUGGUGGACCGAGCCUUUGCUGCAGCCGCCCCCACUCUCUGGAACUCACUCCCACAACUCAUCAGGAACUCAGACUCACUACAGACAUUCAAAUCAUUACUCAAAACUCACCUGUUCAAAACUGCAUACACUUAACUGUCUAUUUCCCAAUGUUUUAUCCCAGUCCUGUCCUUUGUUUUUGUUUUUGUUUUGUCGUUUUGUGUUUGUACAGCGUCUUUGAGUGUUAAGAAAAGCGCUAUAAAAAUACGAUGUAUUAUUAUUAUUAUAGAGCAGAAUUCACUCCAGAGAUAAAAAAAAAAAGAAAAAAAAAGA